AACGAACGCUGGCGGCAGGCUUAACACAUGCAAGUCAAGGGGUGCAGCAAUGCAUAACCGGCGCACGGGUGAGUAACGCGUGGGAACAUGUCUUGAAGUGGGGAAUAGCUUCUGGAAACGGGAGGUAAUACCGCAUACACCCUGAGGGGGAAAGAUUUAUCGCUUUAAGAGUGGCCCGCGUUGGAUUAGUUAGUUGGUGAGGUAAAGGCUUACCAAGGCGAUGAUCCAUAGCUGGUCUGAGAGGACGAUCAGCCACACUGGGACUGAGACACGGCCCAG
rnacentral:rRNA from 1 species